GGGGAUUUAGCUCAGUGGUAGAGCGCUUGCCUAGCAAGUACAAGGCCCUGGGUUCAGUCCCCAGAAACCACA
rnacentral:tRNA from 1 species